AAGGAUAUAGCUUAAAAUAAAGCAUUUUGCUUACACCAAAAAAACAUUUGUUAAACCCAAAUUAUCCUGA
rnacentral:tRNA from 1 species